rnacentral:lncRNA from 1 species
AACCCUAGAGUUUGAUCUUAUUAACUAAUUAAACCCAAGUUUUUAAUUUUUCCACAUUAAACUGUACACUUUGAGCAAAUUUUCAAUCCAAUCCCUACGUCCAUCUCUAUUAAAAUGGUCCAACACAAUAGAAACAUUGCACCCUCUACUCAUUGGCUCCUCUCUCUCUCUCUCUCAUGUAUGUGUAUAUUAUAUGCAAAUAUACAAAUACCUAUACUCCCUUGCAAAACCAUCGGACCCCUCUAUUACCACCUCCUCUACCACUAGCCCCAAAACAAUCACGGUCUUGCACCACCACCAAGGCCUCCAUCCAAUUCAAAAACCAACUUCUUAGUCAACAGGUCACCGAAGCCACACAAUUCGGAAAACUACUAAAAACAACGUAUUCACUAUCGAUUUGAAAAAUGAAAAGCAUAAUACUAUUGGAUAUUAAAAAAAAAAAGUUGAAUUAAUAGAAUGAUGCUUAAUUUUGUUUUCUGAUUUUUGGGUGGAUGGAUGGCAUCAACUUAGGAGGGAAGGGAGGUGGUUCACUAGUGACGAGAGAGGAUGUGUAAAGAGAGUGUGGAAGUGUAGACCUACCUCUUUGUUGUGAGAGAAGAUUGGAAUGGGUUUCGUGAGUGGUCGAAUGUGAUGGUAGAAGGUAAAAAUGAAAAGAGACAUUAUUGGAAGAGAAAAUGAAAAUACUUUGAGUCAACUGCUUUUUCCAUUUAAGCCAUUUAAGGGAGAUGAACGUGGGGUUGAAAUUGUAGUAAUUCAAAAAGUGACGUUUUUAAGUUGGCAAAAUCAAAAGCAUAGAGUUUAAUUUGAUGAUAAAGUAAACUCUAGGGUUUAUUUAAUAAUUUCCCAAAAUAAUAAAAUCCCCAAAUAAUUUGAGGACUCUACUUGUGAUCCAAGUGAAAUCUGGUGGUUUUGGGAAUUAGGUCUGUUUGUUAUCUUGCUUAUCACGUAUGCACGGGCAAACCGAUUGCAUGCAAGAAUAAUGAUUGAUAUACAUCUAUUUUGCCCUAUCACAAAAUAAGUGGGUUCCGCCCUAAUUAGGGUUUUUAGAAAAUCGUAAAAACUCUAAUUAGGGCGGGUCCCACUUAUUUUGUGAGAGGGCAAAAAAGGGUGUGUCUUGUACACACCUAUUUUUGGGUGUGUACCUAUCAUAUUGUUGAUGCAAGGUCGCGUUGUACAUCAAAGCAUACUCUAGCAUGUAUAUAUAUAUUAUUAAUUAAAUCCUACAGAAAUGUGGGAAAUUUUGUACGUUUAGGGAUUUUUACGUAAUCAAAUUACGAAGUUUGGCAAAAAUAAUAUUUAAACAGAUGGCAUCCAUCAAUUGAAGUCCACCGUUGCUAAACAACGUUGUCCUUUUCUCUCUAACUUAUGGUCAUUUGGUGUUGUGACUCUACCAUUUAUAAUAUGUUCAUUUCUAUUUCGUCUCUUCUAGUUUACCAAACAUCCAUUCUUAACAUUCUAGUUUGGAUUUACACAUUCUAUGGACGUGUUUGCUUCUCAGUUCCACAUUUGUUCUCGUAUAUUUCAUUGAUGUGGUCUAAUUAUUAACAUGGUGUUUUCUUAGUGGCGUUAUCUUUUACCAUUCUUAGCUCGCUGUAUCUGAUGAGGUUUUGAGUUUUGCGAUUGCUCUUUGUUCACAUAACAAAUUAAAAUACAAAGAACAAAGCAUAUUUUUUGGUAUCAUUUACGUGUAUGUAUCCUGAUUUUUCAGAAAUUGCCUUGUUUCGUGUUCACGUCACAAGUCACAACAUGUCGUAUUUGUGCUUUUUAGGUACUUUUUAUAAAGAAAGAAAGGACAUACCUCAAAAGUUUCGAGGUGAAGAUACCCCAAUAUCUAGAAGAUGUUUAGAUAGUUUCGGGUGUCACAGAAUGAGUGUCAAGUUGCAAAUAGGAUUGUUCAAAAAAGGUGCAAGUAGAAUGAAGGACUUAAAGGUGCAAGUAGGAUGAAGGACUUAGUACUUCACAAGUUUAAGUUCGUCAAAAGAGACUGUUUUUUUAGAUGGGACUUCAUGAGACUUAAAAAAAAACAUAAUGAGUUCAAGUUCUAAAAGAGUUGUGUUACUUCUCUCAAUCCAAAAAUACCAUGCAAAAGCUUAUAAAUACUAAUUCACACGGUGUCUUGUCCGCGCCUUACCUCUUAAUUUAGCCGAGUCUAAAAAAUCACUCUUUGUCAAACAUCAACAUUUUGGUGAACUCUGCACUUACUGAGGCUGAGUGUCUAUUGAAAAAAUUACUAUGAAAAUUUAAACCACACAAGGUUUAUGCGAUUGAAAUAAGAUUAUCAUUUAAUCAUAUUUUUUCUCUCGUUUUCUUGGCUGCCAAAUGGAGCUUGACAGCAUAUGGAAUAAAUCUCAUGUACAAUCAAACCAGAAAGUUGAACUUUCUAUCUGUUUGUGUGAAAAGACUUAAAAUUAGUAGGAUAGAAUCUGAAGAAAUUGUAAUUAUUAUAGAGCUAGAUAGAGGUUGCAAUUUUGUUAAAAUCAGACGGCCAUGGUGAUGCAUAUAUAUUAUAGAAUCAAACAUAGAAAUCAAAAGAGAGACCUUAAAAUGACCACCCACCUUCAUUGGUGGUUUAGGAAAUAUUUAUUAGGAUAGGUGCUUUCAUCAAUAGUAUACUACCUAGAGCAAUUUGUAUAAAAGAAAAUAAGUUACAAGUAGGACAAAGUUGCGAAAGUGACAUAUAGUUUCUAACUACAAUUAUUUGCUAGGAAACAAAAACUACCGUGUCAUCCCCCACUAGUAAAAUAGGGUAUUACUUCAUAGUGCACAUUUGAAAUUCUAUGAAGCUUUUGUAAAUUUGUCAUUGUCAUGGACAUACCUUCUUGGUAGUUUCCAAAGUUGUUGUACAUUUGUUGGAGGUAAUCUCAUUACUUGACGCAAUAAGAAAUAAAUUGUUGCUGCUAAAUCGAGUGUAGAGGCAAAAUUCCGUGUCAUGGCCCAAAAAGUAUGUGAAUUGUUAUGCAUAAAGAUAAUCUUGAUAAAGUUGAGAUUAGCACUAACGGGGUCUAUGAGAUUGUAUUGUGAUAACAAAGAUACCAUUAAUAUCGCACACAAUCCAAUUCAGCAUGAUAGAACUAACAUGUCGAGAUUGACAAGUACCUUAUCAAGGAAAAGUUAAUAGAAGGUCUGAUUUGUACUUCAUUUGUGAAGACUGAAGAUCAACUAACUGAUAUUCUAACUAAAGAAAUAGCUAGUAAACCAUUUUGUCACAUUCUCAGCAGCAUGGUAUAAGAGAUAUCUUUGGCACACUUUGAGGGGGAGGGGUUGAUAUUAACUUAUUUGUCAUCUUUUAUUGUUAAGGCUUCUGUAGUUUCAAGCUAUGCUUAAGCUAGGUUAAGCUGUCACACUUUCUAGUUCCCAAAGAUGUCCAAAAAACAAUUAUUAAUUCAUUUGCAUGAUGGGUUUUUCUCAAAGCACUCCAAGUACUGAAAUGUAUUUCCCUAUUACAAUUACAUAGCUAUCUCCCCCACUUUUUCUCUCUCUUUACUUUAAACCCACAUGCUGUAUGAACAUAUAUUGAGGUUCCUUAACAAAGGUCAUUCCCAUACCACACGCACACCGCACCAAUUUUUUUUUCAUUUUGAGUCUGAUGGGAGCUAGGUUUUACUACUUUUGAUAACAGGUCCUGGUGUGGAGAUGAAAUUAGAGUUUUCGUUCCGCCAACUCGUACUGACAGUAUUGAAAGAUCAUUAUAUCAACCAGGUGAAACCCAAGAAAGUAGAGACAACUAUACUUUAUGCGUGAGGCUGAAAUCCUGAAACUCUACAUUCUUCAUGGUUUUUCAUGGAUGGUAUCUUACACUGGGGUUUCCUUCUUAGAAGUUCCACGUGUGAAAUUACCAAAAUAUAUUGGCUAUCUUGAUGAAAAUGGUCUUGUCGUCCUGAAGGGCGUUAGACAUAUAUUGCCUGGUUUCAGCAGGCUCAAGUUCCCUCGCACCCACCCACACCCCACAACACAUCACAAUUCUCAAAUCCGAUUUUGUAUGUUCAUGUAAGUUUUUGUUGAGAUUUUUGUUAGGAUUUUAUACUCAAAGACAUGUUUUGUGUAAUAAUUUUAGUAUGUAUUAAUAAAUUAGUUAAUAUCUCAUGUUUAUUAUAAGUGUUUUUAAUAUUUUUCUGAUAUAAUAAAUAAACACGUGCAUUUAAUAUUUUAUUGUUUUGAUUCACAAAAGAGUGAGAUUUUUUGUGGGUCAAUAAACUCAGUGAGUUAGAUAAUAACAUUACGUAUAUGGUGAAUAUUAAUUAUUGAUGGAAUUCACGUUCUAAUAUAGAGAUUGAUAAUACUCCCUUGAAAAUACUUAUAAAUUUUGAUUAUGUCAAAUUCUGCAGGUGAAUUAUAAAUCCGACAUAUCAAAUAUGUCAAGUGAAAGGUCUCAAGGAAUUAAAUAUCUCUAUUAAAUUUAAUUGUCAGUAAUUUAAUUUAAUAAACAGGUAUCUGUGAUCUUAACAUGUGAGAUAAAUAAGUAUUUAAUAAAAUGGUACUCGGAAUAUAAUACUGGUAUAAAAAAGAGUGCAAUUAUAAUUAUUUAAUGGCCUUAAUAAUAAUUUACAUAAAUAGGGAUUAAUCCUUGUUGGAUUAGGAAUCCUUAUUUAUGUAGGAAGUUUAGUCAUACUUAUCCUUCGGUCUAUGUUGCCUUUAUAUAUACGCACUGUAUUAACAGUUGGGGUUACGAUAUAUUCUGAGAUUCAUGUUUUGGUGAGAGCAUAGAAUUCUAGCAGCCGUGAGCCCACUAUCUCUGGUGUAAGGCGAGGCUGAUACCUGUUGUUGUUCGGAUUCAAGGGGGGUAUGAUUCUGAUCAUGUAAAUUAGUUUCUACUAAUUAGAUUAGAUGUUUUUGGUAUUACGCGCAUACGCUACAACCAGAUCGUAAAAAAUUCCGUAGUUCCCAUCAAUUUCAAUAUCAUAUGAAGUCCAUUAUAACCGUAAUCUUGUUAUUACCUUGUUAUGAAUUAACGUGGGUCCGUAUUAAUUAUGCUGAGCAUUCUAUUGCCCGUGUGUUCUAUA